rnacentral:rRNA from 1 species
GGACUGAGACACGGCCCAGACUCCUACGGGAGGCAGCAGUAGGGAAUCUUCCACAAUGGGUGCAAACCUGAUGGAGCAAUGCCGCGUGAGUGAAGAAGGUCUUCGGAUCGUAAAGCUCUGUUGUUAGAGAAGAACACGUGCUAGGUAACUACUAGCGCCUUGACGGUAUCUAACCAGAAAGUCACGGCUAACUACGUGCCAGCAGCCGCGGUAAUACGUAGGUGACAAGCGUUGUCCGGAUUUAUUGGGCGUAAAGGGAGCGCAGGCGGUCUGUUUA